rnacentral:rRNA from 1 species
CCUACGGGAGGCAGCAGUGGGGAAUAUUGGGCAAUGGGCGAAAGCCUGACCCAGCGACGCCGCGUGAGGGACGAAGGCCUUCGGGUUGUAAACCUCUUUCAGCAGGGAAGAAGCGAAAGUGACGGUACCUGCAGAAGAAGCACCGGCUAACUACGUGCCAGCAGCCGCGGUAAUACGUAGGGUGCAAGCGUUGUCCGGAAUUAUUGGGCGUAAAGAGCUCGUAGGUGGUUUGCCACGUCGGAUGUGAAAACCUGAGGCUUAACCUCAGGCCUGCAUUCGAUACGGGCAGACUAGAGUGUGGUAGGGGAGACUGGAAUUCCUGGUGUAGCGGUGAAAUGCGCAGAUAUCAGGAGGAACACCGGUGGCGAAGGCGGGUCUCUGGGCCAUAACUGACACUGAGGAGCGAAAGCGUGGGGAGCAAACAGGAUUAGAUACCCUGGUAGUCCACGCCGUAAACGGUGGGCACUAGAUGUGGGGACCUUCCACGGUCUCUGCGUCGCAGCUAACGCAUUAAGUGCCCCGCCUGGGGAGUACGGCCGCAAGGCUAAAACUCAAAUGAAUUGACGG